AACAGAUUGGAGCAACUGAGAGUAUGUGGGUACAUAGCUUUUUAUCUCAUGUGUCUGCUAAUUUCAUGGAGGAGAACUUCUUUGCUGGUAUCGUUUAACUUUUGGGGAGGGACAGGCAGAAGCACAGUUCUGUCAACAGGAGCUACAUCACUAUGAAGAGAGUUUCCUGUCUCGUUACAGUGGAAAACACUUCUUGGUGUCAGUGAAACUUGAGUGGGAGUCCUGCAGUUACUGUGGGAGUGUGGAGAAAGAUGUAACUGUGGAAUUAAUAAUGUGCUAGAAGGAAAGUGUUCUAGCAAAGAAUUGUCAAAAAGUAUUGAUGACUGAAGGUGAAAAUAUAUGGCAACUCUGGUUUAAAAUUUUGGCAGAACAUUUCUGUAUGAGAGGCAGGCUAUUUAUGGCAGCUUCCUGAGGAAUUAGUGACCUUUGAAGUUGUGCUGAAGUGGCAGAAGCAGCAGAGUGACAUUUGUUGUUUUCUGUAGUACUGAUUCAGACACGCAGUGUUGACUUUAUCAAGGCAUUCUCUUCUGGUCUAGGUUACUUAAUCACAAAAGUGCCUUGGCAAAGACAAAUAUAUAUAGAAAUGAGUGAUAAAGAAAUACUAUGAUAAACACUAUUUCAUAGCCAAAGGUUGAACAAGUGUUAGAUUCUACAUUUAUAAGUCUGGAAAUCUUGUUGAU
rnacentral:lncRNA from 1 species